AGAAUAUUCGUUCUAUUUGUUCUACGACCAACAAGAACACAUUGCUUGAUCUGAGUAACAAGAGCUGCGGUCGACAAUUGAAAACGAAACAUUCCUUUCCUAUCUCUCGUCAGUCACGCUCAAUCUCAUGAUCGUGAGCGCCCUCCACUUCCUCGUCCUUCUCCUCGCUCGAGUCUUCUUCCUUCUUGACGUCGCUGUCCGUGGAUUCCUCUACCCCUUCUUCGAGAUCCUGCUUGGGCAUUUCUUCGUUUGGCAAGGGGAUCGGAGGGGAGAAAUUGUCCCUGACCACAGCGUCCGGAUCGUCAACAGGAGCAGUGGCAGCCGGCGCUAGGUCGGGCUGUUGUCGGAGUCGUCUACAAACAAGAAAACACAAGAAAGACGCUAGAUGAGGCAAGAUGCAAGAUGUCUCUGAUACCUUCAUCAUCAGAUCGAUCAGGAUCCAACAGGUAAUCGAAGAAGCCCGAUCCUUUUGUGGAGAAGAAGCGGCCUCUAUCGAGAGCCAUCGGUAGAGCUCGAGCGUGAGCGCGGAGCACGAGAGAGAGCAUGCGCGAAGAUCGAUCGCUUCGUAGUAGCGGCACGGAGAGAGAAAGCCACAAUCUUGAGAUUCAUUGCACCCUGCGUCCGUCGAUAGAUCCCUGAAGAAACACAAAAGAGAAAAAAAUUGCCAGCGGCCACAAAGCUCAGUCUUCGUAAUUAAACAAGCUCGUACGUGAUUGUACACCGUGAUCCGCUAUUUGGUUUGAGCCAUGGCCCAUUGGCGAGAGAUAAAUCUGGAUGUUCUUUUCACUAUAUAUCUUCUUCAUAAACAAUUUCGAUG
rnacentral:lncRNA from 1 species